GGAGCAUUGUCUGAGACAAACUUGUAUCAUAUUACUUCAAACACAGGAGGAAGCAGCUCUGGUCUCAGCUGCCUGAGUGCCGAGAAAACUUCAAUUUCUCUUUCUUUUCUCAUACAUUUAUUGCCUACUUCCAUGUCAACUUCCAUGGAGUUUCUGAAGUCCCAGGAAUUCACCUUGCAGGUUCAUAGUUUGGGUCCUGGAAUUUGGAAACCCAGAUUUCUGCAAUGACAAGGACUGUCCUUCCACAGUUAAGGUAUUUCACUGCUGCUGCCUAGUUCAUUAUUAUCAUUUAGAACAGAUGGUGACUGCUGGAUUCAUCCCAGAGAACAAAAGAAAUAAAGCAGGACUCUACACUCCUAUCUCCCACAAGUCAAAGGCCUACUGUAAAAUAACAAAUAUAUCCAUGUUGUAGUUCAGCGUGAUGGUAACGUAACUUCUACUGGUAGAAGGGAGAAGAGGUCUGCACAGGAGUUGGAGGAGGAAUAGCAGCAAAAACGGAUUAGGGAGAUAAUCAUGGCUCCAAGUAAUUCUGAGACGUUUGAGGGCUUCUCCGAUUGUGAAAUGGGGGAUGGGGAGGAGAGCAGGGGAGUAAAGUGGGUUACUCGCGAUCCGGAGUCUGAUGAAGAGCUUCAAAGGAAGCGUAUUCGGGAAAUACUUAGCGCUCCUACAGAGGACGAGGACUUCAUGGGGUUUGAAAGGAGUGAUGGGUCUGGGAGUGAGGUGGGAGAGGAGGAUGAGCUGGAUUGGACCCGUGUUCAGGAGAUUAGGGACAUUUGUAACCAACCCACCUCCAGUGAUGAGUUUGAGGAUUGGCAACCGGGGAGCACUUGGCAAGACCUAAGUCUUGACAGACGCUGGCAGAGGUGGAGGGAUGGGCACUUGGGUUCAGCUGCGGGGUUGGAGGCAGCUGAGAGUGAUGAGGAAUGGGUGGGGAGCUCAUCAUCCUCUAAUGAGGAGCUGUGGGAUAAAAGUGGGUUUUGAUUGUAUGGCUCUUUGCAUAAGGCAAAGUGUCUCUUUUGGGAUAUGAAUCUUUGUUACUGCCAACUCUCGAGCUUGGAUCCCUUGGACUACAGAUUCCUGCGUUCCUGUGUUCCUGCAUUUCCUGUGUUUACCUUUCGCAACAGCUUGACUCCGGACCGGUUUGACCAACGCUUUUGUCUUUUGGACUUAACCAUUGCUAACUUCGUGUUUUGACCUGGCAACGUUUUGAGCUUUUGUUUUUUGCCUCUUGCUAUUGUGCUUGUGAACUGUGUAUAUUUUGAAGCAGAUUGCUGAACUUUUGUGUUAACCCAGAUUAAACAGCUAUAUAAUCCGGGUUAUAUUUUUGUUACCGAUAUCGUUGCGUUUUUGAUGCCAACUUAUUGCCUGAACUCUCUGCACUGAAUUUAAGUGCUUUAAAGACUUCUUUUUGUUCAAUAAAGUUGUGUUUGAACCUUUUU